rnacentral:rRNA from 1 species
AUGGCGUAUUCGAGCCUGCCUUCGACAAGGAGGGUUAAGUCGUAACAAGGUAUCUGUAGGGGAACCUGCAGAUGGAUCACCUCCUAAGAAA